CCCUUAGAUGUUCUGGGCCGCACGCGCGCUACACUGAUUCAUGCAACGAGUUUUGUCCUUGGCUGAAAGGCCUGGGUAAUCUUUGAACGUGAAUCGUGCUGGGGAUAGAUGAUUGCAAUUAUUCAUCUUCAACGAGGAAUUCCUAGUAAACGCAAGUCAUCAGCUUGCAUUGAUUACGUCCCUGCCCUUUGUACACACCGCCCGUCGCACCUACCGAUUGAAUGGUCCGGUGAAAUCUUCGGAUCUGAGAGAUGUUGGAUUAAUUUCUGACGCCUUUUGGAAAAGUCGCUUAAACCUUAUCAUUUAGAGGAAGGUGAANUCGUANCA
rnacentral:rRNA from 1 species